rnacentral:rRNA from 1 species
AACGAACGCUGGCGGCAUGCCUAACACAUGCAGGUCGAACGAGCCCUUCGGGUCUAGUGGCGCACGGGUGCGUAACGCGUGGGAACCUGCCCCUAGGUUCGGAAUACCUCCCCGACAGGGGUACUACUACCGGAUACUGCCUUCGCACCAAAGAUUUAUCGCCUUUGGAUGGGCCCGCGUUGGAUUAGCUAGUUGGUAGGGUAACAGCCUACCAAGGCGACGAUCCCUAGCUGGUCUGUGAGGAUGAUCAGCCACACUGGGACUGAGACACGGCCCAGACUCCGACGGGAGGCAGCAGUGGGGAAUAUUGGACAAUGGGCGAAAGCCUGAUCCAGCAAUGCCGCGUGAGGGAUGAAGGCCUUAGGGUUGUAAAGCUCUUUUACCCGGGAUGAUAAUGACAGUACCGGGAGAAUAAGCUCCGGCUAACUCCGUG